GACAGAGGGGGCAAGCGUUGCUCGGAAUCACUGGGCGUAAAGAGCUCGUAGGCGGUCUGUCGCGUCGGAUGUGAAAAUCCAGGGCUUAACCCUGGGCCUGCAUUCGAUACGGGCAGACUAGAGUUCGGUAGGGGAGACUGGAAUUCCUGGUGUAGCGGUGAAAUGCGCAGAUAUCAGGAGGAACACCGGUGGCGAAGGCGGGUCUCUAGGCCGACACUGACGCUGAGGAGCGAAAGCGUGGGGAGCGAACAGG
rnacentral:rRNA from 1 species